UGGGAGGUAAAUUUCUCCUAAGGCUAAAUAUUGGCGAGAGACCGAUAGCGAACAAGUACCGUGAGGGAAAGAUGAAAAGAACUUCGAAAAGAGAGUAAAAUAGUGCGUGAAAUUGUUGAAAGGGAAACGAUUGAAGUCAGUCGUACCGACGGACAAUCAGCCUUUUGAGUGCGAUUCUGUGGUGCAUGAGGAGGAAACCCUCAUGUUUUGCAUAUUUGUGCUCUUUGGGUGUAUUUGUUCGUAUGGUGGGUUAACAUCAAUUUUGGUCGUCAUAAAAUGACGGGAGGAAAGUAGCUUUGGUCUCGUAUUGAAGUGUUAUAGCCUCUGGUAGAUGUGACGACCGGGAUUGAGGAUUGCAACGGAUACCCUUUUGGGCUACUCGCCUGAUCUCUGAUCGUUACUCUGGUGCCGAAAGCUUGCUUAUGUCAUCAAAGUUGAUGGUCAAAAGGUUAGAACGGGUUAAAUUCGUUAAGGAUGUUGACGUAAUGGCUUUAAACGACCCGUCUUGAAACACGGACCAAGGAGUCUAACAUAUAUGCGAGUGUUCGGGUGAGCAAACCCCUACGCGUAAUGAAAGUAAUUUAGGUGGGAACAUUUAUGUGCACCAUCGACC
rnacentral:rRNA from 1 species